rnacentral:rRNA from 1 species
UACAUAGACCUCAAGCGUUAUCCGGAUUUACUGGGCGUAAAGCGUGCGUAGGCGUUUCGUUAAGUCUCUAGUGAAAGCCCUCGGCUCAACCCCGGAGGGUCGACCGAUACUGGCAGACUAGAGUACAGAAGAGGUAACUGGAAUUCCCGGUGUAGCGGUGAAAUGCGUAGAUAUCGGGAGGAAUACCAGUGGCGAAGGCGGCUGCCUGGCCUGUUCUUGACGGCUGAGGCGGCGAAAAGCUGGGGGGAGCAAACGGGG